AACGGCCGCGGUAUCCUAACCGUGCGAAGGUAGCGUAAUCACUUGUUCUUUAAAUGAGGACUAGUAUGAAUGGCACCACGAGGGUUAAGCUGUCUCCUUUUUCUAAUCAGUGAAACUAAUCUCCCCGUGAAGAAGCGGGGAUUAUACUAUAAGACGAGAAGACCCUAUGGAGCUUAAAACAAAUUAACACUUGCUUCUAUCCAUUUUUACUCCUGAACUAACACAUAAAAUAUAGCAUCGUUGAUUAAUAGUUUUCGAUUGGGGUGAUCAUGGAGUAAAAACCAACCUCCACGACGAAAAGGAACACUUCCCUGAGCUAAAAGCUACAACUUUAAGCACUAAAAAAUUAACGCACUUUGACCCAAAUUUUUGAGCAACGAACCAAGUUACCCUAGGGAUAACAGCGCAAUCCAUUUCAAGAGCCCCUAUCGACAAAUGGGUUUACGACCUCGAUGUUGGAUCAGGGUAUCCCAGUGGUGCAGCCGCUACUAAAGGUUCGUUUGUUCAACGAUUAAAACCCUACGUGAUCUGAGUUCAGACCGGAGAAAUCCAGGUCAGUUUCUAUCUAUAAAGGGCUUUUUCUAGUACGAAAGGACCGAAAAAGCAUGGCCAAUGAUCAAUUAAGCCAUAUAAAUUACUCAUGUUCUCAACUCAAUUAGAAACAAACCUACCAUAAACCUCAAAAAAAGAGAAGUUAACGUAGCAAAACCUGG
rnacentral:rRNA from 1 species